CUACGUGCCAGCAGCCGCGGUAAUACGGAAGGUCCUGGUGUUAUCCGGAUUUAUUGGGUUUAAAGGGAGCGUAGGCCGUAGAUUAAGUGUGUUGUGAAAUGUAGGCGCCCAACGUCUGCCUUGCAGCGCAAACUGGUUUACUUGAGUACGCACAACGCAGGCGGAAUUCGUCGUGUAGCGGUGAAAUGCUUAGAUAUGACGAAGAACUCCUAUUGCGAAGGCAGCUUGCGGGAGCGUUACUGACGCUGAAGCUCGAAAGUGCGGGUAUCGAACAGGAUUAGAUACCCUGGUAGUCCGCACGGUAAACGAUGGAUGCCCGUUUUUGGCUUUUUAAGCCAGAGACCAAGCGAAAGCAUUAAGCAUCCCACCUGGGGAGUACGCCGGCAACGGUGAAACUCAAAGGAAUUGACGGGGGCCCGCACAAGCGGAGGAACAUGUGGUUUAAUUCGAUGAUACGCGAGGAACCUUACCCGGGCU
rnacentral:rRNA from 1 species